CCGAAGAACAAUUGAAAGCAUCUAAAAACAUUUAACAUAUACUUUCCACCCUCUUUGGAAAUAGGUUGGAAAGGAAUAAAUCAAUCAUUUUGUAUGUCUAGAAUCCAAAAUGGUUGUGCAGAGGGGGAGGGGAGGGUUCAAAAACACUCCCUGAAUCAGGCAUAGGCAAACUCAGCCCUCCAGAUGUUUUGGAACUACAAUUCCCAUUAUCCCUGACCACUGGUCCUGUUAGCUAGGGAUCAUGGGAGUUGUAGUCCCAAAACAUCUGGAGGGCCAAGUUUGCCUAUGCCUGCCCUACAUGAAAAAGUUACUGGUGAGGGGGGAGUUCAAAGGCCCUAAGAUGUGGGCAGAAAUCCUUGCAUGCUUACAGGUUAUUAUUGUUUUCUUAAGGCUCUCGGCCAUUGUGCAUGAAGAAAUAUCCUUUCUAGAAUACUUUCCAUUCCAUUCCCUCCUCCACUUUACUCUCUGGUGCUGAAGUCAUUAUGUUUUAUCAACAGUGCUUUUCUCUAUUGGGUAAACAGUCUCCUUUUGUGUGGUGACAGAAAACAAUAUGUUGGCAAUAAUAAAACUGAAGUAUCUUCUCCAAAGGCUUUUGUGGUGGCAGCAGCUGUUGAGUGUAGGUCUAGGAGUUGGCUCCUAGGCCCGCAUGUAAUAAAUACAUUCCAACUCCCUCCAGGCUGUCAGUAUGUUGAAGGACGGGUUCAAGUUAGACUUGAGCACUUAAAAGUGAAUUAAAGCCUUCUGUCGGGCUAGCAGAACAAAUCCACUUUUUAAAAAUGGACUUUUUGCAGUUAGGAAAGUGACAGUGAACUGAACUGAAACAUAUUCGGUGAACAAAGUGUGGGAAGACAAUUAAACACUCCACAAUCAAAUCAGGAGAAAUGCACAAGGAAUCCUUCUGCCCGUGUAACCACCCCAUGAGCAAAUCAGAACAAAUAGUCAGUAAAGACCAGAUGUAAUCUAACUACCGUAUUUUUCGCUCCAUUGGACGCAGUUUUUCCCCCAAAAAGUUGAGAGGAAAUGUGUGUGCGUCCUAUGGAGCGAAUGCAGGCUUGUGCCAUAGUCGCACGCAACCCCUCAGGCAGGGAGAGGCUGCACGGGGCUAUGGCUUCUUUAGCCCUGCGCAGCCUCUCCUGGCAGGGAGAGAUUGCGCGGGGCUAAAGAGGAAGCCAAAGCAGCCAGCGGGAUCCAUCGCAUUCACUGCCUUGGCUUGUUCCAUAGCCGCGCGCAACCCCUCCGGCAGGGAGAGGUUGUGC